rnacentral:lncRNA from 1 species
UUUCUUUGGGCCCUAUCCACUCAGUUAAUGUGUACACUAAAUUCUAUCUCCUUGCUUCUUUCCCUCAUUUCUUCUCUCUCUUGUUGACAUUGCCUCACUUAACAUAGGGCUAAGUAGUUUAUUGUCUGAAUUAUCAAAAGAGAGUAAGAGCUGCCUCUAAGCAUCCCUACCUACAAUCUCUUCAUUAUCCUCACAGUCAUCAACAACUCACAUUGACACCUCAGAGAGCAAAAUUCUGGCAAUGGGUCAUCCUGUAAUGAAUAAGUAGUCAUUAAAAUUCUACUAUAUGGAAAGCAACGUGCCAGCUAUUUUGAAGCAUUCAAAGAAAGAAGCUUCAAGGGUCAGAUCUUGAUAUGGACCAGACACCGCCGAAUUCUCUCUCCAACAAAAGAUUACUUCAAUGCGGGAACCAACUCCCAGCUGAAGAUUGACUACAAGAUUGGCUAUGAUUGGCUGGGCACCGUGACUCACUCUUGUGAUCCCAGCACUUUGGGAGGUUGAGGUAGGUGGAUCACCUGAAGCCAGGAGUUCGAGACCUGCCUGGCCAAUAUGGUGAAACCCUCUCUCUACUAAAUACAAAAAAUUAGGCGAGCGUGGUGGUUUAUGCCUGUAAUCCCAGCUACUCGGGAGGCUGAGGCCGGAGAAUCGCUUGAACCCGGGAAGCGGAGGUUGCAGUGAGCCGAGAUCACGCCACUGCACUCCAGCCUGGGUGAUGAGCAAAACUCUGUCUCAACAACAACAACAAAAAAUAAAAAUAAAAUUGAUUAUAAUUAAUUUAUAACCUGGUAGGACCCAUGAUGGUGCCAGCCCUUUCACCAGAGGGAACAAUAACUCAGGAUGAACCAUCUGAGCAAAUCA